rnacentral:rRNA from 1 species
GACGAACGCUGGCGGCGUGCCUAAUACAUGCAAGUUGAGCGCUGAAGGUUGGUACUUGUACCAACUGGAUGAGCAGCGAACGGGUGAGUAACGCGUGGGGAAUCUGCCUUUGAGCGGGGGACAACAUUUGGAAACGAAUGCUAAUACCGCAUAAAAACUUUAAACACAAGUUUUAAGUUUGAAAGAUGCAAUUGCAUCACUCAAAGAUGAUCCCGCGUUGUAUUAGCUAGUUGGUGAGGUGAAGGCUCACCAAGGCGAUGAUACAUAGCCGACCUGAGAGGGUGAUCGGCCACAUUGGGACUGAGACACGGCCCAAACUCCUACGGGAGGCAGCAGUAGGGAAUCUUCGGCAAUGGACGAAAGUCUGACCGAGCAACGCCGCGUGAGUGAAGAAGGUUUUCGGAUCGUAAAACUCUGUUGGUAGAGAAGAACGUUGGUGAGAGUGGAAAGCGCAUCAAGUGACGGUAACUACCCAGAAAGGGACGGCUAACUACGUG